AGUCAGUGGUAACACUGGGGCAAGCCGGUAGGGAGAGCGAUAGGCAAAUCCGUCGCUCACUAAUCCUGAGAGGUGACGCAUAGCCGGUUGAGGCGAAUUCGGUGAUCCUCUGCUGCCAAGAAAAGCCUCUAGCGAGCACACACACGGCCCGUACCCCAAACCGACACAGGUGGUCAGGUAGAGCAUACCAAGGCGUACGAGAUAACUAUGGUUAAGGAACUCGGCAAAAUGCCCCCGUAACUUCGGGAGAAGGGGGACCGGAAUAUCGUGAACACCCUUGCGGUGGGAGCGGGAUCCGGUCGCAGAAACCAGUGAGGAGCGACUGUUUACUAAAAACACAGGUCCGUGCGAAGUCGCAAGACGAUGUAUACGGACUGACGCCUGCCCGGUGCUGGAAGGUUAAGAGGACCCGUUAACCCGCAAGGGUGAAGCGGAGAAUUUAAGCCCCAGUAAACGGCGGUGGUAACUAUAACCAUCCUAAGGUAGCGAAAUUCCUUGUCGGGUAAGUUCCGACCUGCACGAAUGGCGUAACGACUUCUCAACUGUCUCAACCAUAGACUCGGCGAAAUUGCACUACGAGUAAAGAUGCUCGUUACGCGCGGCAGGACGAAAAGACCCCGGGACCUUCACUACAACUUGGUAUUGAUGUUCGGUACGGUUUGUGUAGGAUAGGUGGGAGACUGUGAAACCUCGACGCCAGUUGGGGCGGAGUCGUUGUUGAAAUACCACUCUGAUCGUAUUGGGCAUCUAACCUCGAACCCUGAAUCGGGUUUAGGGACAGUGCCUGGCGGGUAGUUUAACUGGGGCGGUUGCCUCCUAAAAUGUAACGGAGGCGCCCAAAGGUUCCCUCAACCUGGACGGCAAUCAGGUGGCGAGUGUAAAUGCACAAGGGAGCUUGACUGCGAGACUUACAAGUCAAGCAGGGACGAAAGUCGGGAUUAGUGAUCCGGCACCCCCGAGUGGAAGGGGUGUCGCUCAACGGAUAAAAGGUACCCCGGGGAUAACAGGCUGAUCUUCCCCAAGAGUCCAUAUCGACGGGAUGGUUUGGCACCUCGAUGUCGGCUCGUCGCAUCCUGGGGCUGGAGCAGGUCCCAAGGGUUGGGCUGUUCGCCCAUUAAAGCGGCACGCGAGCUGGGUUUAGAACGUCGUGAGACAGUUCGGUCUCUAUCCGCCGCGCGCGUCAGAAACUUGAGGAAACCUGUCCCUAGUACGAGAGGACCGGGACGGACGAACCUCUGGUGCACCAGUUGUCCCGCCAGGGGCACCGCUGGAUAGCCACGUUCGGUCAGGAUAACCGCUGAAAGCAUCUAAGCGGGAAACCUUCUCCAAGAUCAGGUUUCUCACCCACUUGGUGGGAUAAGGCCCCCCGCAGAACACGGGUUCAAUAGGUCAGACCUGGAAGCUCAGUAAUGGGUGUAGGGAACUGGUGCUAACCGGCCGAAAACUUACAACA
rnacentral:rRNA from 1 species